rnacentral:rRNA from 1 species
UACGUAGGGGGCUAGCGUUGUCCGGAAUCAUUGGGCGUAAAGAGCGUGUAGGCGGCCCGGUAAGUCCGCUGUGAAAGUCGGGGGCUCAACCCUCGAAAGCCGGUGGAUACUGUCGGGCUAGAGUGCGGAAGAGGCGAGUGGAGUUCCUGGUGUAGCGGUGAAAUGCGCAGAUAUCAGGAGGAACACCGAUUGCGAAGGCAGCUCGCUGGGACGUAACUGACGCUGAGACGCGAAAGCGUGGGGAGCAAACAGG